rnacentral:lncRNA from 1 species
CUUCCUUUGGGUAGUUGAGUGAAAAUCUGUGACCCUUCCCACACGUCAUCUAUUGGGAAAUUUCCCUUGAAUCAUUACCCAGUCAUACUCAUAAUUUUGAAAUACAAACUAGUUUGUAUUAUCAGUAAGGCUAGGGUUGGGAGCCAGUAAACCAUACAUGGACCCAGUGUAGUGUCACGGUUCGUAUUGGUUUGAUUUAGACCUCAAACUAGUUGCAUAACCGAACCAAACCAAUGUGUUUGGUUUGGUUUGAUUCCGCAUUUCGUUGCGUAUAGUGUAUGCUCGAUAAUUUGCUUGACCUACUCCUUUUGCUUCCUUUGAGUCCCAGUCCCAAGUCCCACCGAAUGAAACAGAACAAAAAUUCCACCCAAGCAAGAAUGAGGAUGAGGAGAGAUGAGGGAGAGAUGGAAUAAGCACCUGGGAACUUUGGGAGUAGAUCUUGUUACAUGUGGAAUUGGGAGUAUUUUUGUGAAUUUCUGAGACGUUCAUCUGGCGAUCCCAAUCCACAUCGAUGAGAGAAAAAAAGAUUCUAGGAUUUGUUCCAAUCCAAAGUUGCAUUUGCAUGGCAUGGGAAAUCCUGCAAACAUACAACAAAGCCAGCUCAGGCUGGAUGUAUGCGUGUGCUCCCUACCGCCCAUUGUCUGUGCGACACGCUCCCUCAAUGGGACAUAUAUAGCUGUAUUUAUCUUCAC